rnacentral:rRNA from 1 species
GACGAACGCUGGCGGCGUGCUUAACACAUGCAAGUCGAGCGGAGCGGCGAACGGGUGAGUAAAGCGUGAGUAACUGCCCCCCUCUCUGGGAUAACAGUUGGCAAAGGCUGCUAAUACCGGAUAGUGGGGGAUGACUCCCGUCCUAUCAGCUUGUUGGGGGGGUAGGGGCCUAUCAAGGCGACGAAGGGUAGCCGGGCUGAGAGGGCGACCGGCCAUAUUGGGCUGAGAUACGGCCCAAACACCUACGGGAGGCGGCAGUGGGGAAUAUUGCAUAAUGGGGGAAACCCUGAUGCAGCAACGCGCGUGCGGGAUGACGGCCUUCGUGUUGUACACCGCUUUCAGCCAUGACGCGGUAGUGGCAGAAGAAGCACCGGCUAACGACGUGCCAGCGGGCGCGGUAAUAC